UACGUAGGGUGCGAGCGUUGUCCGGAAUUAUUGGGCGUAAAGGGCUCGUAGGCGGUCUGUCGCGUCGGGAGUGAAAACUCAGGGCUUAACCCUGAGCCUGCUUCCGAUACGGGCAGACUAGAGGUAUGCAGGGGAGAAUGGAAUUCCUGGUGUAGCGGUGAAAUGCGCAGAUAUCAGGAGGAACACCAGUGGCGAAGGCGGUUCUCUGGGCAGUAACUGACGCUGAGGAGCGAAAGCGUGGGGAGCGAACAGG
rnacentral:rRNA from 1 species